rnacentral:rRNA from 1 species
UACGUAGGGGGCGAGCGUUGUCCGGAAUCAUUGGGCGUAAAGCGCGUGUAGGCGGCUCGGUAAGUCUGCUGUGAAAGUCCAGGGCUCAACCCUGGGAUGCCGGUGGAUACUGUCGAGCUCGAGUCCGGAAGAGGCGAGUGGAAUUCCUGGUGUAGCGGUGAAAUGCGCAGAUAUCAGGAGGAACACCAAUGGCGAAGGCAGCUCGCUGGGACGUGACUGACGCUGAGACGCGAAAGCGUGGGGAGCAAACAGGG